rnacentral:lncRNA from 1 species
UAGCAAGUGGCAGUGAUGGCAUUUACUCAAGGAGGAUCAUAACAUUAAUUACCUCAGUUCAGAUGAGUAGACAAAAAGUCCAUGGCCUGAGGCUAAGCUGAGAAAGUAAGGCAAAGGUAAGAAGGAAGAGGCAACUUGAUGGAAGAACCAGGGGAAGCCUUAAAUUCCAACCCGUUGUUUUACUAGAGAGGCUGAAGAACCGCAGGUAUUCUCAGAAUUUCCCAAAUUUUAUCUAGACUUGAUGUUUUCAACCCUUCCUUGACAAAAGAAGAAGCCAAAGUCUAUGGGGAGGUUCUCUGUUCUGCAAAUUCUAGCCACCUUGGUCUCGCUAGACUCUCACCUCCAUCCGCUCAACUCAGCGAGUCCGCUGUGCUCUAUGUGAGUUUGCCCUCCCUGCCUUGCAGCCUGGAGACUCUCUGAAAGCAGUAAGCUGAAGGAAUUGUGUGGCACAUCUCCUUUGUUUCCCAUCUCAAGCCCCCAAUAGCUCAGAAUGCAACUGUGUUUGGAGAUAUGUCCUUACCUAAGUAAGGUGAAACGAAGUCAUAUGCGUGGGCCCUAAUCCAGUAUGACUGACAUCAUUACAAGAAGAGGAAACAGAAGAGAAUACAGAUACAGAAAGAAGACCAUGUGAAGAUACUGGAAGAAUAUGGCUAUGAUGGUUAAUUGUAUGUGUCAACUUCAGUGGGAUAUGGGAUGCCCAGACUAAACAUUGUUUUGGGGUGUGUCUCUGAGUGUACUUCCAGAUAAGAUUAGCAUUUGAAUUGGUGGACUCAGUAAAGCAGAUUGCCCUCUCCAAUGUGGUUGGGUAUUGGUUAAUCUGCUGAAGGCCUGAUUAAAACAAAAGGUGGGAGAAGAGAAAUUCUCCCCAUUUUCCUGCCUCACUGCUUGAGCUGGGACAUUUCAUCUCAUCUUCUGCUGCCCUUGAACUUGUGUUUACAUCAUCAGCUCUCCCGGUUCCCAGACUUUUUCACUGGGACUGAAUAACAACAUCGGCUUUCCUGAGUCUCCAGCAUGCAUGAGCCAAUUCCUCAUUUUUAUAUAAUGAAGAAAAUAUAUAAUGAAGGAUAUGUACAUUGAAUACACACUACAUACGACAUUCAUAAUAUAUUAUACAUGCAAUUAAUAUGUGUCAUAACAUACAUAUGUAGUAUAUCCUAUUGGUUCUCUUUCUCUGUAAAACCCUAAUACAAUGGUCAUUACAAACUAGGGAGAAAAACUUUCUGAAUAAUUUUUAGCCUCCAGAACUAUGAGGAAAUAAAUUUCUAUUUUUUAGCCACCCAAUCUGUGGUACUUGGUUAUGGCAGCCCUAGCAAACUAAUACAUCUGCUUUGCAUAAUUUCUGUCAAGAAGUCUAAAAUUAUUCCCCUCUUUAUUGUCCAAUAUGUAGUGUAUCCAUUUUUUUCUCUAGCUGCAUUUAAGAAUUUCUCUUUAUGACUUUUUUAGCAAGUAGAUUAUGGUUUUCUUUGAACUUAAACUGUGCAGUAUGUGUUAAGCUUAUAGAUUUCAUCAAAUUUGGAAAAAUUGAACAUUAUUAUUGAAAUAUUUUUAAUCACCCACACUCACUGUUUUUUUUUCUUUUUCUGGAACUCCAACUAUACAAACAUUAGAUUGCUUAAUAUUGGACCAUAGGUCACUGACUCUCUGUAUUUUUUUUUCUUUUUUUUCUCUGUAUUGUAGUUUGUUCAGUUUCUAUGUCUUUAAUUUUAGUGGUCUUUUCCUCUGCAUUAUCUGUCAUUAACCAUGUCUAAUUUUUUUUAAAUUUCAGAUGUUAUAUUUUUUGGCUCUACAAAUACCAUUUUUUAUGUCUCACAUUUCUUUCUUUGUGACGUUUAAUUUUUAAAAGAUAUUGAGUGAAUAUGUAAUAACUUAAAGACUUUGCUAAUUCUACCACCAUUUUCAUUUCUGGAUCUGUUUCUAGUGACUGAUUUUUUUUUCUUCCUAGAUAAUGGCUGCAAUGUCUUGCUUCAUUGAAUCCUUAGUAAUUUUUUAUUGCGUACUGAACAUCUCAACAUCG